UACGGCAACAUCGCGUUGAAACAUUGGUUCCCUUACGAUCACCAAAGUUAAGCAACGUCGAUCCUGGUCAGUACAUAGAUGGGUGAUUCCUUGGAAAUACCAAAUACUGCAC